AUCCGUAGUUGAGUCUCUGAUCUGAUGAUUGGUAAGAUGAUUCACCUGCUGAGAAAUAUGCUUUUGAACUUGAUGGCACUCAUACAUUGUUCUCCACAUGUGCAUCAACCUAAAAAGAUUCAGCCACAUAUUUGAGAAUCAAGUAAAAUACAAUCUUAUUUACUCUUCUAUAUGGAGCACUUGAGCAUUCACAUAUGUCAACAAAGAAAGUAAAGCCAGUUAAAAGAAAAAAAAAUUGAUUUCAGGCAAGGAAAUCCAGUGCACGUCUCCAGUGAGAAUUUGAUCAAGAAGGAUUUGUCUAAUUUCCCUAACCAGGAAGAAUUAAAGCAUUCCUUUAAGCCGUUUUCCUCCAAGGUCUAGAAAGCAUUGCUGAGCCUUCCUAUUAACAUCAAUGUAUUCACCAAACUCAGUCAUGGUUCCAAAAAGCCACUCAUUCAAACAUGCUAACCAAAAAUAAAAGCAGAGAAACAAAGGGUCUUUUAAUGACAUUGGGUAAUGAGUAUAUCAUCAUAUGGGUAACAAUGACAUGUAUCAUCAUCAUCAUCAUAGAAGCAAGGAGACAAAAGUCUUUUAAUGACAUUGAAUAAUUAAUAUAUAAUCAUAGUGGUAACAAUGACAUGCAUCAUUAUCAUUAUCAUAUUAUAAAAAACAAAUAGUUCAUUCAUUAAAAUGCAAAAUAAUAUGGGAUGAUGAUAACCAAUCUAUUUCUGGAUAGAUUCAUACAAAGGAUAAAUAAAUAAAUAAUCAUUCCAUUCGAUUUGGAGAAAUUGAACUUCAAAAAAUAUUACUUUGUUUGUGCCCCACACAAUAGCUGUAGAAGUUGCUAAAAUAUCAUUCCUGAAUCAAUUUUAAUCUAGUAUCAAGUGCUGACACAAUAAAAGCCCUUCUGUGUUAGAUAUCAAUGUUCAGAACUCUUACCCAGAAGUUAAUGCAACCAGCUGAGGGUACAGUUCAUCGUCUAUGAGCUUCAGAAUAGAUGAACAAGUUCUGCUUAUUGAUUGCUGCAGAGCAAUCAUGUCAGACUGCAAACUCUCAACACAAGAUCGAGUUUUCUCAAUCUUGGUCCAAUCUUGGUCUUCUUCUUCUUGUUUUUGCAGUAGUAAGGACUUUCUCUCAUGCAAUAAUUUCGUAAUCUCCUCAUCCUAUAUAAUAUUGUAAAACUGAUUGUCAAAGAACAAGGACAAUUCACAAAAAGAAAGCAACAUUUUAAAAAACAAAUUAAAAAAAAUGAAGCAAAGUUAGAUAAUAUUUUUUCUUUUUCUGAUAGGCAAAAUCAGAUAGUAACUUCUUCUAGAGAGAGAAUGGUAAGGACGUUGAAGGUCUCUGUGGAGAGGAAGACCUUCUUGGUUAGGCUUGAAGGCAAGUCCGAUGGAAAAUAGUGCUCGCUUACAGAGUACAAUAGAGGCUCUGUUUUCGCCUUAGGUUUUGAGAAGGAAGAGGUUGGUUGGUUGAUCGAACAUUUGACGAAGGUCAUUGAGCUGAAGAGUUACAUGGGUUUCAACAGAAAAUACAGGGGAAAAUCUAGUGUCCAUUUAAUGGAGGUAUGCUUCAACAACCAUGGUAGGUGUCACACCCUCGAAAAUCACCCUAAAUUUUUCACCUAGUGCGCGGUGCUAAGGACCCCUCCUUAGCCAACCUUCCUUCCCAAUCUUCACAACACUCACACACAAGCAACAGCAAACCAAAAGGAAACAAGGACACACGAGAUUACAGGAAUUUCUUCCCAACUUGUAUUAGUUCUCAACCUACAAGAUACAAAAUUGUUCCUUGAGCCAGAGGAUAAUGCUUCCAACCCAAGCAUUCGGAGAUCCUCUUUCUCUCCUUCCUCUCUCUCCCUCUCAAGGCUGCAGGAGUCCUAUUUAAAAGACUGGCUCUGCAGUUUUUCCUCUGGUGGUGGUGCAACUGCCCAGAACCGCUCUGAACUGCUGGUAUAACUACCCACCACCCAGAUGGUGGCCUGCUGAGAAACCACCCACUUGCAUCAGCAUCAGUUUUGCCUCAGCCCACUGUCAGUCUAUACAGCUCCUUGACUUGCUCACUAGCUGUCCAAGCUGUAUCAGUGUGCCUCCCCCACGCUGAUGAGUGAGCCCAAGCCAUGUCGAGGUGCCCAUGGUCUGGGCCUGUUGCUUUCCCUUCUUUUGUCAGGUUCCGCUUCAACGAACCAUGGCAUUGCGCCCAUGGCUAUUCCCUCUUGGUGCACAGGGCAUUGCGCCCCUGUGCUGUGCAUAGGCGUUUGGGUGCUAAUCGGCUGUUUGUCUGAUGCCCCAUCUGGCCAUGGCAUUACGCCCAUGGUCUUCUUGGCUGGCUUGCUUGCACAAGGUUUAGGCGCCCUCGUGCCGGCGCGGGGAGGGGCUAGGCCACAUCAUGCCCCGUGCUGUUGCAGCCACGGGUUGCAUGCUACACAUGUCGUGGAGCCCAUGCGUGCAUGCUCAAUUGCCAUGCGUGUCCUAAGCACGCCCAAGGCCUUGCCAGGGUGCCUUCUUGGUGCGGUCAAGGCUCGCCCUUGGUGCUCAUCUCCCUUGAGACACCCACCCCCCCCCCCCCUCCUUAAAGAGCAAUACGGGCCGUUUACAAAGUUUCUGGAGGAGACAUCAAUAUGUCUGAGGAGACAUAAUGGAGAUAUUUAAAUAAAUACAAAUUAAUUUAAAUUCUCAAAAUAUCCCUCUGCACCACUCCUUAGCCCAAGUGCCUUCAAGGUGCGCAUGGUGCCUGUCUGGCUUGCCCUUGGUGCGCGCCUGGCCCGUCCGUGGUGCGCGCACGGUGCGCAUCUGGCUCGCCCGCGGUGCGCGCGCGGUGCUCGUCUGACUCAUUUGUGAUUCUCACACUAAGCUUCAGGGGUUUGAACCACCAACCCUCUAGGCUUCCCUUGCUUUCAACCCAGGCUCUCAUGGGUGCAAGGCCUACCCAUGAGGCCUAUUUUUCCCGGUCUAAAUCAAGUGGCUAAGGGGCUGACAGUAGGUUUAUAAGGCUUUCGGAGUUCGCCUCCAACAGAAAGUCAACUUUCCUGGUAAUACCUGAGGGCAUGAAGGGCAGGGGAUGGGAGCAACUAAAAAGAGCGUUGUCUUCAAUGCUGGUGGUCCCCUCCUCGAAUAUAGAUGAAAAGGGAAGGCAAUGCAGGGAAGAAAGAUUUAAUCACAAACAUGUGGGUCUUUUGUAUCGGUCCUUCGCGAAUGUAGUUAGAGAAGAAGGACCGAGGAGAGGAGGCCUUGUUCCAGUUGGGAGGUGGGCGAGAGUCGUGGUGUGCGAAUGCCCAGCAAAUUUUGAUAACUGGGUUGAGGUUGGCCGUGCUCCGGCGAAAAGAUUAAGGCAAAAAGGUGUGGUGACUAUCGUCCCCUUCUAUGGUGGAAAAGGUUUAUUUUUUGUAGAAACAAUAGAGGAAGCUCUCUCUCUCCAGGAAUUAAGGUUUCUCAAGAUUACGGGAGGAUAUACAGUCCAAUUGAGAAGGUGGUCGCCAAGGGAAAAUUCAGAAGUCGUGGGGAAGUUCAGAGGAGGAUGGAUAGAAUUACAGGAAUUGCCCUUUCAUUUAUGGUCUGAGGAAACAUCUGAAGAAAAUUGUGGAGCAAUGGGGGCCGGUGACAGAGAUCGAUUGGCGAACGUUGAAAUUGCAUGAUCUUUGCAAGGCAAGGGUGAGAAUUUUAAUGAAGGAACCGUCAGUUCUCCCAGCUUUGAUCGAGGUGAUAGAUGGGGGAUGGGUGUUCACAAUUUCAGUUGCAGUGGUCGAAGUUGAAGACGUUAGGCGAGGUAGAGAAAUGUGUGAGUCAACUCAAGAGGAUUAUGAGCCUCACUCGUGGACAGGUGGCAGAAGACCGAAUGAGAACUAGAUCAACGGCUGAAAGAAGGUCUUUUGUUGGGGCAGCUGGCAAAAUGAAGGAGGGUGGAGAUAGUCAAAAGGCUGAAUCAAUUCCCAUGGGGACACAUGGAAAAAGAUCGGAAGUGGGGAACAGCUGGUUCCAACCCUCAUCGUCGUUCAUUUUGAAUUCAAACAAACAGAGAAUAGGGCCUAUUGGGCCAAAGCAGGAUGGUGAAGUUUGGGCCGGAGGGGACAAGGCCCACUCAAUUGAUGAGGAAGGGCAUCGGGCCUCUAAUUCAAAGCAAGAGAGAAGGGCCCAAUCUCCUCUUAAUCCCAGACCACUGGUAGAAGCAGACUUGGGCUGGGAGAGGGGUGAUAAUUUAAAAGGCCCGCUUUCAAAGUUAGGCCAAAAUCGAGAGGAAAGUAGCCCACUUUUGAGAAGGGCUCUUUACGCAAAGAAAGCUCCUUUGCAAUGGGAAAGGGGAAGUUAGUCUUAAAGGUCUCUGAUGCCCAGCCGAGGGGCUCGGUGAUGAAGUUCGGUUCAAAGAAGUUGUGGACUACUCUUAUUCCUCCAAGUUCUGGAUGCCGACAAGGGGUUCAAAGUCAAAGUGAGCCUCUAACGCAUGAGAAGCCAUCGUCAGAUUAUGAAGCUCCUCCAAAGGAAGAUGCUUUCGAAGCGGGAACACAGAUGGAACGAAGAUUCAACGCGAGUCCACUCACUUUUUAUCGAUCAUCAGGGUUCUGAAAGAGGUGUUCAGGGGAAGGGGCUUCGUCGAUAAAAGGAGACGCGGAUUUGCACAAAUCCUCUAACGAUGAAGACAGAGCAAGAUAUAAGGGCCUCGAGGGUUUUGUUCAUCGUGGCUCAUCAGGCACAGUUUUUCCUUCUAAUCCAGUAAUCAAAGAAAAAUGGCUCAACUUUGUGGGGACUUAUGGACAGAUGGUAGCAAAAAACGUGGAGGUAUCUUCGUCUUCACAUUCUUAGUCAUCUUUGUCAUUUUUUCCCCCUCCCUUUGGCUUGGCACUCCCACCUCUGAGUCCUCCUGUUCCCGUUCUUCCCAGUUCAAUCAUUCCGUCUCAGUAUCCUACGAAAUCUCGAGUUAUUUCUGAAAUUUUUUCUAAAAAAAAUGACAAUGGUGCUUUAUGUCAAGAGUCCGUUGGCAAUCCUAACCUAGAUGUUGUGGAAUCCUAGUUAGCUUAUCUGAACCAAAUGCCCGAGGGUAUUAACCCCCUUAAGACCAUGCCCGAUAUGUCUAAUGAGGCCCCCAACCUAGUUACAGUUAGCCAAGGCGAAGCUAAGUUCUCCCCGUUGGGUAAGUUCCAAAUAAAAGGCCUUUCCCCCAGCAAAAUGGCUAAAGUUUGUGAGGUCUUAAGUGCUCUGGAUAUUAAGGUGUAUUCUAAGAGGAAGAACAUAGUCUCCACAAGUAUUUAAGACUUGUUGGAAUUGGUAUGGAGGUUUAGGGUCAGUAAGGUUUAUCCAUGAAAAUUAUUAGUUGGAAUACUAGGGGUUUGGGAUCUAGGAAAAAACGAAGGGUGGUUAAUGAUUUUUUGCGACUUGAGAAUCCGGAUGUUGUGAUGUUUCAGGAAACAAAAAAGGAGGUGUGUGACAGAAGGUUUGUUGGUAGUGUCUAGACGGUUAGAAAUAAAGAGUGGGCUGCUCUUCCAGCAAGCGGGGCUUCAGGUGGGAUUUUGAUUAUUUGGGACUCUAAGAAACUGUGUAGUGAGGAGGUGGUAAUAGGCUCCUUUUCUGUCUCAGUCAAGUUUGUGUUGGAUGGAUGCGGACCCCAGUGGUUGUCCACAAUUUAUGGCCCAAACAAUCCCUUACUUAGGAAGGAUUUUUAGGUGGAGCUUUUAGACAUUUUUGGCCUUUCUUUUCCUUUAUGGUGUGUGGACGGUGAUUUUAAUGUUAUAAGGAGAAGUUCAGAAAAAUUGGGAGGCUCUAGUUUAACUUCUAGCAUGAGGGACUUUGAUGGUUUUAUAAGAGAUUGUGAAUUACUUGACCCCCCUUUACGGAAUGCCCCAUUCAUUUGGUCAAACAUGCAAGAGUCACCUGUGUGUAAGAGAUUGGAUCGGUUUCUUUACUCAAAUAAGUGGGAGCAUUUCUUCCCUCAAAGCCUUCAAGAAGUUCUUCCUAGAUGGACAUCGAAUCAUUGGCCGAUAGUUUUGGACACCAAUCCGUUCAAGUGGGGCCCAACACCUUUUAGGUUUGAGAAUACGUGGCUGCAACAUCCUAGUUUCAAAGAAUGUUUCAGUAGUUGGUGGAGAGGUUUUCAAGGAAAUGGUUAGGAAGGUCACAAGUUUAUGAGGAAGUUACAAUUUGUUAAGGCCAAAUUGAAAGGUUGGAAUAAGGAUUCUUUUGGAAAGCUAAAGGAAAGGAAAAAAAGCAUCCUGAAUGAAAUAGCUAACAUUGACGCCAUUGAGCAAGAAGGGAUUCUCUCUUCUGAACUUUCGGCUCAAAGAGCUUUAAGAAAAGGGGAGCUAGAGGAAUUAGUUUUGAGGAAAGAAAUUCAUUGGAGACAAAAAGCUAGGGUGAAAUGGGUUAAAGAAGGGGAUUGCAAUUCAAAGUUUUUUCACAAAGUGGCUAAUGGCAGACGAUAUAGGAAAUUCAUCAAAUUUUUGGAGAACGAAAGAGUUUUAGUAUUGAAUAAUUCUAAGAGCAUCACAGAGGAGAUCUUACUUUAUUUUGAAAAGCUCUACUCGAGUCCUCCUAGAGAGUCUUGGAGAGUAGAAGGCUUAGAUUGGUCCCCUAUCUCAGAAGAGAGUGUGCUUCUAGGUUGGAUUCCCCUUUUACUGAAGAAAAGAUUUCCAAAGUCAUCUUUCAGUUAGAUAGGGAUAAGGCACCGGGGCCUAAUGGAUUUACCAUUGCAAUGUUUCAAGAUUGUUGGGAUGUGAUCAAGGAGGACUUAGUGAGGGUGCUCGCAGAGUUUCACAGAAGCGGGAUUAUCAAUCAAAGCACCAAUGCCUCCAUUGUUCUUUUGCCCAAAAAAAGCCAGACAAAGAAAAUCUCAGACUUUAGACCUAUUAGCUUGAUCACUUGUCUCUAUAAGAUAAUAAUCAAAGUUCUAUCAAGGUGAUUAAGAGGGGUACUACAUGAAACUAUCCAUUCUACUCAGGAUGCUUUUGUUCAAGGAAGACAAAUUUUAGACGUAGUUCUUAUAACCAAUGAGAUAGUGGAUGAGAAAAGACGAUCAGGGGAGGAAGGAGUUGUCUUCAAAAUUGACUUUGAAAAGGCUUACGACCAUGUGAGUUGGGAUUUUUUGGAUCAUGUGUUGGAGAAGAAGGGGUUUAGUCCUAAAUGGAGGACCUGGAUCAGAGGUUGUUUGUCUACAGUCUCUUAUGCAGUUUUAGUGAAUGGAAACGCUAAAGGGUGGGUCAAGGCAACUAGAGGAUUAAGACAAGGUGACCCUCUAUCCCCUUUUCUGUUUACUAUCAUCACAGAUGUGUUGAGUAGGAUGUUGUUGAGAGCAAAGGAAAGAAGUUUGUUGGAGGGUUUCAAGGUAGGUAGGAAUAGAACAAGGGGGUCCCAUUUUCAAUUUGUAGAUGAUACCAUUUUCUUUUCUAACACUUGUGUGGAAGAUCUACAAACUCUCAAGAGUUUAUUGUUAGUGUUUGGGCAAAUUUCUGGGCUUAAGGUCAAUCUUGACAGGAGUAAUCUUUUUUGCAUCAACUUUGAUAAGAAUCAUCUUUCUAGGUUGGCCUUGAUGCUUGAUUGCAAGGCUUCUGAUUGACUUAUACUCUACCUAGGUCUUCCUUUGGGAGGGAAUCCAAAGGCUUGUGGCUUUUUGGAUCCAAUGAUUGACAGAAUCUCGCAGAGAUUAGAUGGGUGGCAAAAGGCUAACUUAUCAUUUGGAGGUAGGAUAACUCUUAUCCAUUCAUGUUUUUCCCACAUUCCUAGCUACUUUCUCUCCUUGUUUAAGAUUCCCGUUUCAGUGGCUACAAAAAUUGAGAGAUUGCAAAGGGAUUUCCUAUGGUCAGGGGUUGGGGAAGGUAAAAGAGAUCAUCUUGUUAGUUGGGAUGUAGUGUGUAAACCAAAGGUAAAAGGGGGAUUGGGUUUUGGGAAGAUUUCUCUAAGGAAUCUCGCUCUUUUAGGGAAAUGGUUGUAGAGGUAUCUUAGGAAGAGUUCAGCUCUAUGGCAUCAGGUCAUUUUAAGCAUUUAUGGGACACAUUCUAAUGGUUGGGAUGCCAACACUAUAGUUAGAUGGUUACAUCGUUGUCCUUGGAAGGCUAUUGCAUAAGCCUUUCUGGAUUUUUCCAAGUAUACUCAGUUUGUGGUAGGAAAUGGGGAAAGAAUUCGCUUUUGGGAAGACUUGUGAUGGGAGGACCAAUCUUUGGGAUUCCAAUAUCCAAGACUAUUUAGAGUAGUCAUGGAUAAAAAUAUUUCUAUAUCUUCAAUUCUCGGUUCUACUCGCCCCUUCUCUUGGAACUUUAAUUUUCAUCGUAACCUUUCCGAUUCUGAGAUAGAAGAUUUAGAAAGCCUCAUGCGGUCACUUGAUUGUUUGCAUUUAUCCCCAUCGGUUUCAGAUGCGAGAUCCUGGUCUUUAUCUUCUUUAGGGAUAUUUACAGUCAAGUCAUUUUUUCUAGCCUUGUCCCACCUUUUCGAUUCAUCUCCAAUUUUCCCUACUAAGUUUGUAUGGAAUUCUCAAGUCCCUUUUAAAGUCAAGUCCUUCGUCUGGUUAGUGGCACACAAGAAGGUAAAUUCUAAUAACUUGCUACAAUUGAAAAGACUCUACAAAGCUCUUAGUCCUAACAUUUAUAAGUUGUGUAUGAAGCAUAGAGAAUUACCAGAUCAUCUUUUCCUACAUUGUUCCUUAACGAUGGGGUUGUGGCACAGAUUAUUUCAGUUAGCCAAGAUGGAUUGGGUUCCCCCGAGAAGCAUCUCCGACAUGAUGUCCAUCAAUUAUAAAGGUUUUGGAUUAUCCAAGAGAGGGAUAGUUUUGUGGCAAACUGAGUGCAUUGCUUUAAUUUGGGUUGUGUGGCGAGAAAGAAAUGCGAUAAUAUUUGAGGAUAAAGCAAGGAAUUCAGAGAAUCUAUGGGAUUCCAUUCACUUCCUUGCUUCUCUUUGGGCUUUUUGUUCCAUGGUUUUUAAGGGCAUUCCCCUUAAUGUGUUACAACUAGAUUGGCUAGCAUUGUGUAGCUCCAACGGGAUGGUCUAGCCUAGAGAGUUUGUUUGUUUUUACAUUGAAGGUUCUUGUUGUUUAGUUUUUUCUUUGGUGGGAGGAUUCCUCAUCCUUCUAUUGUACUUCUUAUUUCUAUCAAUAUAUCUCUUUGUCGUUUCCUAUCAAAAUAAAAAUAAAAAAAAUCAGAUAAUAACUUUUAAUACAACCAAGUAAACCAUCCAAGGGAAAUGCCAAACAAUUGCACUAAAUCGAGAAUUUGCUCAACCACCUUAGGCAGGAUAUAAAUAAACUCAUUACUACUAUAAGUGAGCCAGAAUUAAACUUACAGAGUAAUCGACAAGAAAUGAUUAACGCCCAUUUGAAUCUUCACACAAUUUUCUAAUUUCCAAAGAAUGCAUUACAGUGGUAGGAUCGAUAAAAUUGUUAUCCAGAGUGAUACUCUGUCUACAAACUUAAAAAAGAUUGUUCUGAGAUAUCUGUAUGCAUGGACAGAAGCAUUUUUUAGGAUGGACAGUGUCCCUCCCUCACAGUUAACAGAUGGCUAUACAAGAUAAGACUCAUUUGUUCCUUUCCUGCUCAAUUUCUCUCUUCUUUUGUCUUUUCAGUUGUUUUCAUUUGCUGCUUCUUGUGCUUUUUUUAGUAUGAACUCUCUCUGUUUGCUGUGGAUGAUUCAUCUCUACUUCC
rnacentral:lncRNA from 1 species